rnacentral:rRNA from 1 species
UACAGAGGGUGCAAGCGUUAAUCGGAAUUAUUGGGCGUAAAGGGUGCGUAGGCGGUUUGGUAAGUCUUAUGUGAAAUCUACAGGCUCAACUUGUAGUCUGCAUGAGAAACUGCCGGGCUUGAGUAUGGGAGAGGUGAGUGGAAUUCCUGGUGUAGCGGUGAAAUGCGUAGAUAUCAGGAGGAACACCUGUGGCGAAAGCGGCUCACUGGACCAUAACUGACGCUGAUGCACGAAAGCUAGGGGAGCAAACAGG